GAUCGGGCAAGGAAAUAUUUAUAGCUGUAAGAUAGGCAUGCGUCCCAUUAGCUGGUUGGUGAGGUAACGGCUCACCAAGGCAACGAUGGGUAGGGGAACUGAGAGGUUUAUCCCCCACACUGGUACUGAGACACGGACCAGACUCCUACGGGAGGCAGCAGUGAGGAAUAUUGGUCAAUGGGCGAGAGCCUGAACCAGCCAAGUCGCGUGAAGGAAGACUGUCCUAAGGAUUGUAAACUUCUUUUAUACGGGAAUAACGGGCGAUACGUGUAUUGCUGUGAAUGUACCGA
rnacentral:rRNA from 1 species